rnacentral:lncRNA from 1 species
GCUCAUUUCCUCAAGGUUUUGAUAAUAAUGUUUUGAGGGAGCCUUAAACUGUUAGAAAUUCUCUUCCUUCUUUCCUCCCUCCCCCCCCUUCCUUCCUUCCUUCCUUCCUUCCUUCCUUCCUUCCUUCCUUCCUUCCUUCCUUCCUUCCUUCCUUCCUUCCUUCCUUCCUUCCUUCCUUCCUUCCUUUUUCUUUCUUUCUUUCUUUCUUUCUUUCUUUCUUUCUUUCUUUCUUUCUUUCUUUCUUUCUUUCUUUCUUUCUUUCUUUCUUUCUUUCUUUCUUUCUUUCUUUCUUUCUUUCUUUCUUUCUUUCUUUCUUUCUUUCUUUCUUUCUUUCUUUCUUUCUUUCUUUCUUUCUUUCUCUUCCUUCCUUCCUCUUUCUUUCUUUCUCUCUUUCUCUCUUUCUUUCUUUCUCUCUUUCUUUCUUUCUUUCUUUCUUUCUUUCUUUCUUUCUUUCUUUCUUUCUUUCUUUCUUUCUUUCUCCUCUUUUCUUCCUUCCUUCCUUCCUUUCUCUCUCUCUUUCUUUCUUUCUUUCUUUCUUUCUUUCUUUCUUUCUUUCUUUCUUUCUUUCUUUCUUUCUUUCUUUCUUUCUUUCUUUCAGGGGGGGGAAUAGAUAUACUUAGCUAGUCUAUCUCUGAAUAUGAAUAUGAAUAUGAACAUCUUUCUU